CUCCAAUAUCACCUCACCUGGACUGCAACAGCAGGCAAGCCCAAAUGAGGCUUUGUCCUUGCUACACGCUGCUGCCUCAUUGCCUGUCUCGCCACCAAACGGAAACAGAUGUUCUAACGUUGAGUGAAGAGCCAACGAAAUAGCUUCUGCUGUUGACCUGAUGUGACGAAUGCCAAUUCGGAGUGGAUCCAAGUUGUUUCUCAGGAGUCCGCAGAGAUUUGGCAUGCCAUCAGAAACCCUGGCAAACCUCCAGAGAGAACCAGAUACAAGGAAUGAAUCAUAAAUUAUCCAGGCCAGUGACGCAUCAGCAUGCAUCGCCCGCUACCCGUGGAUACGCCCCGGCCUCACGAUGUCUAAAUAGAAUCGAA